rfam:Desulfitobacterium dichloroeliminans LMG P-21439, complete genome.
GCCAAUGUGGCUCAGGGGUAGAGCAGCUCACUCGUAAUGAGCAGGUCGUCGGUUCGAUUCCGACCAUUGGCU